ensembl:snRNA U6 U6 spliceosomal RNA
GUACUCACUUCGGCAGCACAUAUACUAAAAUUGGAAUGAUACAGAGAAGAUUAGCAUGGCCCUGUGCAAGGAUGACACACAAACUCAUGAACGAUUCCAUAUUUUU